rnacentral:rRNA from 1 species
AGUGAACGCUGGCGGUAGGCCUAACACAUGCAAGUCGAACGGCAGCACAGAGGAGCUUGCUCCUUGGGUGGCGAGUGGCGGACGGGUGAGGAAUACAUCGGAAUCUACCUUGUCGUGGGGGAUAACGUAGGGAAACUUACGCUAAUACCGCAUACGACCCCAUACCGAGAGGUAUAAGGUGAAAGUAGGGGAUCGCAAGACCUUACGCGAUUGGAUGAGCCGAUGUCGGAUUAGCUAGUUGGCGGGGUAAAGGCCCACCAAGGCGACGAUCCGUAGCUGGUCUGAGAGGAUGAUCAGCCACACUGGAACUGAGACACGGUCCAGACUCC